GCGCAUUCUGCACUCUGAAGAGCAGCACGAGAAGGGGGUCUGGUUGUGAGCCGCAUUGGAGCAGAAUGGCCAAGUACCGCAAGGUGACUAUGAAGGGUUUCUCUCUUGCUUUGCAGGUGCCAUGGCAGGCUCUCCACAGAAGUGGCUGAGGAUUUGAGAUAAGGCUGGAGAGUGACAAGGAGCGGCACAUGCAGUGAUGGUUUCCAAGCACUGCGGUUGCUUUCUCUUCUGUUUAUCAGGUGCCACAGGCAAGGUGGGUUGUAACAUCAGUCUUUAGAAUUGGAGCAAAGCAGGUCACUUGAAUGCCACAGGGCAUCUGAGAAGGGUGUUUUAACAGAAAAAGUUUGUCUGUUGUGGUGGUGUCUGAUUGCAGUGUGUUUCCACAGGUGAAGAGGUGCCUGAAGCCCCAUCCUGUAUGGGCUGAGUACGCCUCGCUGAGGAUGAAGCUUGCUUUUCAUUAGUGCCUAAAGACACAUUGGGGCUGAAAUGCUGUGUCUGUAUUUGGGCUGGGGUUGUGCCUUGUCUCUAGGGGAUUCACGCAGAGCUUCAGUACGCAUCUCAAGG